rnacentral:rRNA from 1 species
GACGAACCGAGCAAACGUUAUUCGGAAUCACUGGGCUUAAAGGGCGCGUAGGCGGGUCAGCAAGUCAGGGGUGAAAGCCCCCAGCUCAACUGGGGAAGUGCCUUUGAUACUGUUGAUCUCGAGGGAGGUAGGGGCGUGCGGAACUUCCGGUGGAGCGGUGAAAUGCGUAGAUAUCGGAAGGAACACCGGUGGCGAAAGCGGCGCGCUGGACCUCUUCUGACGCUGAGGCGCGAAAGCCAGGGGAGCAAACGGG